UCCCAGGGAAAAUACUAGAAGAUUGGUC
rnacentral:piRNA from 1 species